ACUGCAGCAGGAGAGCUGGUCCUGGUCCGACUGCCUGUCAGCCUCUUAGUCAGUGAGGAUUGUCAGAAUGUCAGCAGCAGCUUAGUCAAACCCCCUGUGGCUGACUUGAAGAGAACCACUUCAUCUCUGUGUCUUCAACAUGGACGAGUCUUUGCUUCAGAUGAGUCUGCCCGAAGUGGAGAGGAUGGCCUCAGACCAACACUUACCCACAGAGGGCAGCACUAUGUCCACGUUGCACUUUUGACGCAGCCUGAAGUUUGGACAUAAGGAAGAGUUCCACACAACUGAUGGAG